rnacentral:rRNA from 1 species
GUGGAUUAGAUACCCUGGUAGUCCUGGCAGUAAACGGUGCACGUUUGGUGUGGGAGGAUUCGACCCCUUCCGCGCCGGAGCUAACGCGUUAAACGUGCCGCCUGGGGAGUACGGUCGCAAGAUUAAAACUCAAAGAAAUUGACGGGGGCCCGCACAAGCGGUGGAGUAUGUGGCUUAAUUCGAUGCAACGCGAAGAACCUUACCAGGCCUUGACAUGCAUCUCUAAGCGGGUGAAAGCCCGUGACUCCCGAAAGGGAGAAUUUGCACAGGUGCUGCACGGCUGUCGCCAGCU